GGGAGAAGAGAGAGAGUAACCGAUACAUAGAGAGGGACUCAUGAGAUUAGAGAUCGAAGGGACUAGGGGUUCGCACCAAGAAGGUUUGCAUUGUGAAAUUGGGUCCAAAUUAGCGUUUGCAUUUCAUAUCUUUCUUGCUUAAAAAGGUGAGGGGAGAGAUUAGGGUUUGCAAUUGGAAAAUUGCAAUGGAAGUGCUUGGAAGCUUCAACAUGGUCGACGGGACAACUAGCCUAACAACGCCUAUGAUGUCUGGAGAUCAAAUGUCAUGCCAUUAUCAAGUUAAAGCUGGGUUUUAUGGAGUAAAAGAAAGCAAGUCUCUACAAUGCCGAUUUUGGAAGGUGUGAUCUCUCCAAACUAUUAGCUAGCUAGCGUUAGGAAAGCAAGUAGUUGGUGACUUUCAAUUUCCUGAUAAAUUUCUUGUGCAUAUUAAAUUUCUUUUCGUGAUCCUUCAGCUUCCAGAAAUUU
rnacentral:lncRNA from 1 species